UACAGAGGGUGCAAGCGUUGUUCGGAAUUAUUGGGCGUAAAGAGCUCGUAGGCGGUUCGUCGCGUCGGCUGUGAAAUCCCGAGGCUCAACCUCGGGUCUGCAGUCGAUACGGGCGGACUGGAGUUCGGCAGGGGAGACUGGAAUUCCUGGUGUAGCGGUGAAAUGCGCAGAUAUCAGGAGGAACACCGGUGGCGAAGGCGGGUCUCUGGGCCGAUACUGACGCUGAGGAGCGAAAGCGUGGGGAGCGAACAGG
rnacentral:rRNA from 1 species